rnacentral:rRNA from 1 species
AGUGAACGCUGGCGGUAGGCCUAACACAUGCAAGUCGAACGGCAGCACAGUAAGAGCUUGCUCUUACGGGUGGCGAGUGGCGGACGGGUGAGGAAUACAUCGGAAUCUACUUUUUCGUGGGGGAUAACGUAGGGAAACUUACGCUAAUACCGCAUACGACCUACGGGUGAAAGCAGGGGAUCUUCGGACCUUGCGCGAUUGAAUGAGCUGAUGUCGGAUUAGCUAGUUGGCGAGGUAAAGGCCCACCAAGGCGACGAUCCGUAGCUGGUCUGAGAGGAUGAUCAGCCACACUGGAACUGAGACACGGUCCAGACUCCUACGGGAGGCAGCAGUGGGGAAUAUUGGACAAUGGGCGAAAGCCUGAUCCAGCCAUACCGCGUGAGUGAAGAAGGCCUUCGGAUUGUAAAGCCCUUUUGUUGGGAAAGAAAAGCAGCAGGAUAAUACCCCGAUGUUCUGACGGUACCCAAAGAAUAAGCACCGGCUAACUUCGUG